rnacentral:rRNA from 1 species
AGGAUUAACGCUGGCGGCGUGCCUAACACAUGCAAGUCGAACGAGGUAGCAAUACCUAGUGGCAGACGGGUGAGUAGCGCGUGGUCAACCUACCGUUGAGUGGGGGAUAACUAGCCGAAAGGUUAGCUAAAUACCGCAUACGUCUCCGAGGGGCAUCCCUUGGUGAUAAAAGGAGCAAUCCGCUCGAUGACGGGACCGCGUCCCAUUAGCUAGUUGGUGGGGUAACGGCCUACCAAGGCAUCGAUGGGUAGCUGGUUUGAGAGAGCGACCAGCCACACUGGGACUGAGAUACGGCCCAGACUCCUACGGGAGGCAGCAGUGAGGAAUUUUCCGCAAUGGGCGAAAGCCUGACGGAGCGACGCCGCGUGUGGGAAGAAGGCCUUCGGGUCGUAAACCACUGUCGAAGGGGAAGAGUAAUGACGGUACCCUUGGAGGAAGCCCCGGCUAACUACGCGCCAGCAGCCGC